AACGAACGCUGGCGGCAUGCCUAACACAUGCAAGUCGAACGAGACCUUCGGGUCUAUUGGCGCACGGGUUCGUAACGCGUGGGAACCUGCCCUUAUGUUCGGAAUAACUCUCCGAAAGGGGUGCUAAUACCGGAUAAUGUCUUCUGACGAAAGAUUUAUCGCCCUUGGAUGGGCCCGCGUUGGAUUAGCUAGUUGGUAGGGUAAUAGCUUACCAAGGCGACGAUCCAUAGCUGGUCUGAGAGGAUGAUCAGCCACACUGGGACUGAGACACGGCCCAGAAUCCUACGGGAGGCAGCAGUGGGGAAUAUUGGACAAUGGGCGAAAGCCUGAUCCAGCAAUGCCGCGUGAGUGAUGAAGGCCUUAGGGUUGUAAAGCUCUUUUACCCGGGAUGAUAAUGACAGUACCGGGAGAAUAAGCCCCGGCUAACUACGUG
rnacentral:rRNA from 1 species